GAUGAACGCUGGCGGCGUGCCUAAUACAUGCAAGUCGAGCGAACGGACGAGAAGCUUGCUUCUCUGAUGUUAGCGGCGGACGGGUGAGUAACACGUGGAUAACCUACCUAUAAGACUGGGACAACUUCGGGAAACCGGAGCUAAUACCGGAUGAUAUUUUUAACCGCAUGGUUCAAGAGUGAAAGACGGUCUUGCUGUCACUUAUAGAUGUAUCCGCGCGGCAUUAGCUAGUUGGUAAGGUAACGGCUUACCAAGGCAACGAUGCAUAGCCGACCUAGGAGGGUGAUCGGCAACACUGGAACUGAGAAAGGCUCAAGACUCCUACGGGAGGCAGAAGAAGGGAAUCUUCCGCAAUGGGCGAAAGCCGGACGGAGCAACGCGGCGUGGGGGAUGAAGUUCUCCGGUUCGAAAACCUCGGUUAUUGGGGAAGAACAUAUGUGUAAUUAAAAGUGCACAUCGUGACGGUACCUAAUCAGAAAGCCACGGCUAACUACGUG
rnacentral:rRNA from 1 species